GUGCACAUUGUUCUUUCUUUCGAUAACAUAUUUUAUCAUUUAUAAAGAUUUUCUUAUUCCCUAAAAGAAAAGAAAGAACAGUUAAACGGAAGAGAUGGGAGUGAGAGUGACAGUGUAAUAUACCGUCGGCUUGAGCCUUGAGCCGAGCCAUUUUGUGGGAAUUAAACCUUCUUCACGCGUUUAAAGCAAACCCCCCACGCGCGUCAUCAAGCCCUUGACCCUACGCGCCAAUGUUCUUCUACGCGUGCAUCCAUUGAUUCUCCGUGCACUCGCCAU